rnacentral:misc_RNA from 1 species
AGCAGCCGCGGUAAUUCCAGCUCCAAUAGCGUAUAUUAAAGUUGUUGCAGUUAAAAGCUCGUAGUUGAAUUUCGGGAUCAAUAUGUUGGUCGUGCCUCGGUACGUACUAGCUUAUUGGUUUCUCCUUUCUGAAGAACCAUGAUGUCAUUUAUUUGGUGUCGUGGGGAAUCAGGACUGUUACUUUGAAAAAUUAGAGUGUUUAAAGCAGGCUCACGCUUGAAUACAUUAGCAUGGAAUAAUGAAAUAGGACGUUUGAUUCUAUUUUGUUGGUUUCUAGGAUCGACGUAAUGAUUAAUAGGGAUAGUUGGGGGCAUUAGUAUUCAAUUGUCAGAGGUGAAAUUCUUGGAUUUAUUGAAGACUAACUACUGCGAAAGCAUUUGCCAAGGAUGUUUUCAUUAAUCAAGAACGAAAGUUAGGGGAUCGAAGACGAUCAGAUACCGUCGUAGUCUUAACCAUAAACUAUAGCCGACUAGGGAUCGGAUGGAUGUUAAUUUUUAAUGUACUUCAUUCGGC